GUGAAUCAUCGAAUCUUUGAACGCAACUUGCGCCCCUUGGUAUUCCGAGGGGCAUGUCUGUCUGAGCGUCGUCUUAACUCUCAACCUCCUCUCUUGUUUCCUCGUGGCCGAGGUGGGGCUGGUUGGAUCGUGAGUGCUGCCGGGGCUUCGGUCCGGGCUCGCUCGAAAUGCAUCGGUGGUGACUUUGGCUGGCUUUCCCGAAAGCUCCGAAGACCCGGCGUGAUAGAGAUGUUUCGUCGAGGGACUCGGGUGACUAGGGGCCCUGCGCCUGGCCGCCUUGCCUUUGAUUGUCUAUCCUUUUGACCUCAGAUCAGGCAGGACUACCCGCUGAACUUAAGCAUAUCAAUAAGCGGAGGA
rnacentral:misc_RNA from 1 species